CAAGUAAACAAAGUAUGGCGGCGGCAGAAGUUUCAGUGAAACGUGUGUACUCGAAGACCAUAAAACAUCGAUCACACAAGAAAUAAGGAUCACAGAAAAGAGAAAUGGACACUAAGGUCUCAGCAAGCAAAAAUAUCAAAGAAUCACAUCCUAUGCUGUCUCCUGCUGCGGAACGGAACGUCUGGUUGCUGGAGAGUAUUUGACCACUUCCUCUUUUGUAGGUUUACUUCCUGCCAGUUUCCACUUAAGCACUGGACCAAUACCAUUAUCUUCCAUCUGGAGACAUUGUAGACUUGAUGAGUUGUACUUUGACAUCCAUUGUGUCCCUUCAGUUUCUACGGAGGAGCACGAAAUCCGUGAGGUAGAUCUAGAUUCUUGAAGACCACGACGCCUCCGUCGACUUUUACGACCUGCCAUUGUGAUUUAUUUUUAUUCGAUGUUUGCUUAAUAAAAUUUUUGUUUCUCAAACACAGACAAAGCGUUGUUAUGAUUCGAUCACAGGACCCGUAAACUUAAACGGAUCAUUCGAUCACAGGACCCGUAAACUUAAACGGAUCCCGCCGUGGAUGCCAAAAUUGUAACGCUUCGGAACGCCUGCCUUGUGUUGAGAACAAAAACUUCGAUGUAAAGUUUUAUAAUUUUAUUCAGUAAUACAUGAACAGCGAAAAUAAAUAACAAUGUUUGAAAUUCACACAA